CUUUCCCAUGUGUAAGACACACAUGCUCUCUGCUUGAGACUGGAAAGCCCCACAGGACAGGGCUCACGGCCGAGCCAGCCCUGUGUCCCCCGGGCUGCCCACCCCUGUGGGGGCUGACUGACUGAUGGGGGGGGUGGACCUGCCGGCUUUAAGGACAGCUGUCACCAAGGCCGUUUAUUCCUGCUCAAGCAUUUGUUCUCUGUGUCGCAGGCAUUUUCCUGACCCUAUCCCAAGAAAGGAUCCCGGCUUUUGUGUCCUCUGACUCUGGUGCCUGGAGAAACUGAGGCAGGAUUUGCCUCCCACCCUCCUUCCAUUCAGGCCUCGAUUCUCGCGGACGGCCCAGCGCAGGACCAGUGCGUCCCAGGCACGAUAUGGCUUCUGUCUGGUCCUGCAUUCCACGCUUUUCUUCACAUUUGAUUCACUUUUUGCUGGAGUAAAUUGAUUUGAAAAGGAACCUUCACCUUUUCCUGGGAGUCUGCUUUACAGCAUCAAGAGACUCAAAUGUAAAAGUGUCCAUUGCAGUGUCUUGAAUAGCUAAUCACGGGACACAGAGCGAAUGCUCAUUCGUCGGGGAAACGGAAUGAAUUAUGGUCCAUUUACAGCAUGUCAUCUGACGCCGCCUUUAUAAAGAAUGAAAUGGACACACACCAGUUGAAGGGAUUUCCAUGCUGUGUUGAGUAUAGCAAGAUGCAGAGAAGAAAAUGUAAUGUGAUACAACUGUGGUAAAGGAAUGGCCAAGAAGGAAAAAAAAAAACCAACCCAACCCUUUUAUGAACAGGUACAGAGGUCGACAUGCAAAAUCUUAGGAAAUAUGCAAGGACAGAUGGACUUUUUGUACCGCUUGGCCCAGCUCGAAGCUCACUGUGAAAUCACGUUUACUGAACGUAAAGCCACCUAAGAAAUGUUAAAAGACACUGUGUCCCCCAGACUGCCCACCCCCGUGGGCAUCAUCAAAUAAGGGCAGUCUCUAUGAUAGGCUCAGAAAGAACGACAGAGCCUUGACGAUAAAAUAAUUAAAAUAAUGAAGCCUG